UACGUAGGGGGCGAGCGUUGUCCGGAUUCAUUGGGCGUAAAGCGCUUUAAGGCGGUUCGCUAAGUCGGGUGUGAAACCUCCAGGCUCAACCUGGAGACGCCACUCGAUACUGGCGUGACUAGAGUUCGGUAGGGGACCACGGAAUUCCUGGUGUAGCGGUGAAAUGCGCAGAUAUCAGGAGGAACACCAGUGGCGAAGGCGGCAUCCUGGACCGACAUUGACGCUGAACGGCGAAAGCUAGGGGAGCAAACGGG
rnacentral:rRNA from 1 species